rnacentral:rRNA from 1 species
UACGUAGGGGGCAAGCGUUGUCCGGAUUUAUUGGGCGUAAAGAGCGUGUAGGCGGCCAUACAGGUCCGUUGUGAAAACUGGAGGCUUAACCUCCAGACGUCGACGGAAACCGUCUGGCUAGAGUCCGGAAGAGGAGUGUGGAAUUCCUGGUGUAGCGGUGAAAUGCGCAGAUAUCAGGAAGAACACCUAUGGCGAAGGCAGCACUCUGGGACGGUACUGACGCUGAGACGCGAAAGCGUGGGGAGCGAACAGG